rnacentral:rRNA from 1 species
UUAAGCGACUAAGCGUACACGGUGGAUGCCCUGGCAGUCAGAGGCGAUGAAGGACGUGCUAAUCUGCGAAAAGCGUCGGUAAGGUGAUAUGAACCGUUACAGCCGGCGAUGUCCGAAUGGGGAAACCCAGUGUGAUUCGUCACACUAUCGUUAACUGAAUACAUAGGUUAACGAGGCGAACCGGGGGAACUGAAACAUCUAAGUACCCCGAGGAAAAGAAAUCAACCGAGAUUCCCCCAGUAGCGGCGAGCGAACGGGGAGCAGCCCAGAGUCUGAAUCAGCUUGUGUGUUAGUGGAACGGUCUGGAAAGUCCGACGGUACAGGGUGAUAGUCCCGUACACCAAAAUGCACAGGCUGUGAACUCGAAGAGUAGGGCGGGACACGUGGUAUCCUGUCUGAAUAUGGGGGGACCAUCCUCCAAGGCUAAAUACUCCUGACUGACCGAUAGUGAACCAGUACCGUGAGGGAAAGGCGAAAAGAACCCCGGCGAGGGGAGUGAAAAAGAACCUGAAACCGUGUACGUACAAGCAGUGGGAGCACCUUCGGGUGUGACUGCGUACCUUUUGUAUAAUGGGUCAGCGACUUAUAUUCUGUAGCAAGGUUAACCGUAUAGGGGAGCCGCAGGGAAACCGAGUCUUAACUGGGCGUUAAGUUGCAGGGUAUAGACCCGAAACCCGGUGAUCUAGCCAUGGGCAGGUUGAAGGUUGGGUAACACUAACUGGAGGACCGAACCGACUAAUGUUGAAAAAUUAGCGGAUGACUUGUGGCUGGGGGUGAAAGGCCAAUCAAACCGGGAGAUAGCUGGUUCUCCCCGAAAGCUAUUUAGGUAGCGCCUCGUGAACUCAUCUUCGGGGGUAGAGCACUGUUUCGGCUAGGGGGUCAUCCCGACUUACCAACCCGAUGCAAACUACGAAUACCGAAGAAUGUUAUCACGGGAGACACACGGCGGGUGCUAACGUCCGUCGUGAAGAGGGAAACAACCCAGACCGCCAGCUAAGGUCCCAAAGUCAUGGUUAAGUGGGAAACGAUGUGGGAAGGCACAGACAGCCAGGAUGUUGGCUUAGAAGCAGCCAUCAUUUAAAGAAAGCGUAAUAGCUCACUGGUCGAGUCGGCCUGCGCGGAAGAUGUAACGGGGCUAAACCAUGCACCGAAGCUGCGGCAGCGACACUAUGUGUUGUUGGGUAGGGGAGCGUUCUGUAAGCCUGCGAAGGUGACCUGUGAGGGUUGCUGGAGGUAUCAGAAGUGCGAAUGCUGACAUAAGUAACGAUAAAGCGGGUGAAAAGCCCGCUCGCCGGAAGACCAAGGGUUCCUGUCCAACGUUAAUCGGGGCAGGGUGAGUCGACCCCUAAGGCGAGGCCGAAAGGCGUAGUCGAUGGGAAACAGGUUAAUAUUCCUGUACUUGGUGUUACUGCGAAGGGGGGACGGAGAAGGCUAUGUUAGCCGGGCGACGGUUGUCCCGGUUUAAGCAUGUAGGCUGGUUGUCCAGGCAAAUCCGGAUAAUCAAGGCUGAGGUGUGAUGACGAGGCACUACGGUGCUGAAGUAACAAAUGCCCUGCUUCCAGGAAAAGCCUCUAAGCAUCAGGUAACAUCAAAUCGUACCCCAAACCGACACAGGUGGUCAGGUAGAGAAUACCAAGGCGCUUGAGAGAACUCGGGUGAAGGAACUAGGCAAAAUGGUGCCGUAACUUCGGGAGAAGGCACGCUGGUGUGUAGGUGAAGUCCCUGCGGAUGGAGCUGAGACCAGUCGAAGAUACCAGCUGGCUGCAACUGUUUAUUAAAAACACAGCACUGUGCAAACACGAAAGUGGACGUAUACGGUGUGACGCCUGCCCGGUGCCGGAAGGUUAAUUGAUGGGGUUAUCCGUAAGGAGAAGCUCUUGAUCGAAGCCCCGGUAAACGGCGGCCGUAACUAUAACGGUCCUAAGGUAGCGAAAUUCCUUGUCGGGUAAGUUCCGACCUGCACGAAUGGCGUAAUGAUGGCCAGGCUGUCUCCACCCGAGACUCAGUGAAAUUGAACUCGCUGUGAAGAUGCAGUGUACCCGCGGCAAGACGGAAAGACCCCGUGAACCUUUACUAUAGCUUGACACUGAACAUUGAGCCUUGAUGUGUAGGAUAGGUGGGAGGCUUUGAAGCGUGGACGCCAGUCUGCGUGGAGCCAACCUUGAAAUACCACCCUUUAAUGUUUGAUGUUCUAACGUUGGCCCCUUACCGGGGUUGCGGACAGUGUCUGGUGGGUAGUUUGACUGGGGCGGUCUCCUCCCAAAGCGUAACGGAGGAGCACGAAGGUUAGCUAAUCCUGGUCGGACAUCAGGAGGUUAGUGCAAUGGCAUAAGCUAGCUUGACUGCGAGCGUGACGGCGCGAGCAGGUGCGAAAGCAGGUCAUAGUGAUCCGGUGGUUCUGAAUGGAAGGGCCAUCGCUCAACGGAUAAAAGGUACUCCGGGGAUAACAGGCUGAUACCGCCCAAGAGUUCAUAUCGACGGCGGUGUUUGGCACCUCGAUGUCGGCUCAUCACAUCCUGGGGCUGAAGUAGGUCCCAAGGGUAUGGCUGUUCGCCAUUUAAAGUGGUACGCGAGCUGGGUUUAGAACGUCGUGAGACAGUUCGGUCCCUAUCUGCCGUGGGCGCUGGAGAAUUGAGGGGGGCUGCUCCUAGUACGAGAGGACCGGAGUGGACGCAUCACUGGUGUUCGGGUUGUCAUGCCAAUGGCACUGCCCGGUAGCUAAAUGCGGAAGAGAUAAGUGCUGAAAGCAUCUAAGCACGAAACUUGCCCCGAGAUGAGUUCUCCCUGAGACUUUAAGUCUCCUGAAGGAACGUUAAAGACGAUGACGUUGAUAGGCCGGGUGUGUAAGCGCAGCGAUGCGUUGAGCUAACCGGUACUAAUGAACCGUGAGGCUUAACCUU